UGGGGAAUAUUGGGCAAUGGGGGAAACCCUGACCCAGCGACGCCGCGUGAGGGAAGAAGGUUUUCGGAUUGUAAACCUCUGUUCUUGGUGAAGAGGGGAAGACGGUAGCCAAGGAGAAAGCCCCGGCUAACUACGUGCCAGCAGCCGCGGUAAUACGUAGGGGGCGAGCGUUGUCCGGAAUGAUUGGGCGUAAAGGGCGCGUAGGCGGCUUAUCAAGUCUGGAGUGGAAGUCCUAUUUUCAAGGUAGGAAUUGCUUUGGAAACUGGUAAGCUUGAGUGCAGGAGAGGUCAUCGGAAUUCCCGGUGUAGCGGUGAAAUGCGUAGAGAUCGGGAGGAACACCAGUGGCGAAGGCGGGUGACUGGACUGCAACUGACGCUGAGGCGCGAAAGUGUGGGGAGCAAACAGG
rnacentral:rRNA from 1 species